rnacentral:rRNA from 1 species
UACGUAGGGCGCAAGCGUUGUCCGGAAUUAUUGGGCGUAAAGAGCUCGUAGGUGGCUUGUCGCGUCUGUCGUGAAAGCCCGGGGCUUAACUCCGGGUCUGCGGUGGAUACGGGCAGGCUAGAGGCAGGUAGGGGAGAAUGGAAUUCCCGGUGUAGCGGCGAAAUGCGCAGAUAUCGGGAGGAACACCGGUGGCGAAGGCGGUUCUCUGGGCCUGUACUGACGCUGAGGAGCGCAAGCGUGGGGAGCGAACAGG